UUUUGGUCGUGUCACAUCAAUCUCUUUUGCGUCACGUCAAUCAUUUUUUCCUUCCCGUCUUUGUUUUGGCUGGUGAAUUAUUCAUGCAUGUGCUCAUCUUUGUUUUGGCGCCACACGCGGAGAGAUAUCGCUGCUGCUGAAUAAAUUGAGGUCGCUAGAGGAGAAGGGAGCACCAGAGGGAGCAGCAGCAGAGCAGAGAAGGGAGAAGAGAAGGGAGCAGCAGAGGAGGAACGCGAGGAGCAUCAGCAGAGGAGCAGCAGCUCGAGUAUAGAAAGCAGCAGAAGAGGGGCAACACGAGCACUUAAUUAGCUUUCGUACCGCCUUAAAUCAUUAUCAUGGCUCAUGGUGGUCUUCCUGAGCUUCUUCAGCAGCGGUACGACGAGAAUCAUAGGGGAAUGAUGAUAUUCACAGGACAGCAGUUGAGUCUGUUGCGAGCCCGGAGUGUUCACAAGAUUAAGGAGUUAGACCCUCGAUUUCACGAGCCACUCGCACGGGCAGGACUACUACCUUUCGCUCUCAUGAUGGCCGGAGCUCCCAUGGCGGGUGGUGGUAGGACACCUCUGCCGGCGAUUGAUGAGGCACUGCUCACAGGUCUCGUCGACCGGUGGCGUCCUGAGACGCACACGUUCCACUUUCCUUUUGGCGAGAUGGUUGUAACAUUGAAGGACGUGGCCAUGCUGACCGGGCUGCCAAUCAGGGGCGCCCCGUUAAUAGUUUCGCGACCCGCAAGGGAGCAGUGGAAGGGUUAUGUUACGGAUAGGUAAUUAUUUGUUAUGUAAUGCACUUCAAAUAUUAUAGUGCUAUUAAAGCUUCAUCUGACCAUCUGCAUCUUAUAGA